rnacentral:lncRNA from 1 species
AACUAAUUCAUACAGAAACAUAUAUAUAAGACCAAAUGUUCAAAAAAAAAUUAGACACAAAUCUUGACGUUGACCUACAUAUAUGAAUUCAUGGGAUCUUAAUUAUAGUCAUUAAUUCCAUACCUUGGAGGUGUAGUAGAAACUUGCUGUAGCCAAAAAAAUGUCCUUGAAGAUCAGGUGUGAAUGUUGAUCCAAUAGAACAAUGCUUAUAAGGACAUUUCUCUGUAAACAAAAAAUACCAAAACUACACACAUAAGAGAUGAAGAAACUUGACACGAAGAACGAUAUUCAGCUAUACCUUAUAAUGAUCAUACCAUUUCCUUCCUGCAACAUUGCGAAUGUAGCCGAUCGGCAUUGAGUGAAAUUACCAGCAGCUUGAAGUGAAGCUGUUAAUCUGCUUUCUUCGGUCGAGUUUUUCUUCUGUGAGUUUUGGUCGAAGAUGUAUCCUUUAGGAGUACAAGGGUCAGUAACUAUUCCAUCUUCUGUAGAGUUUACAGCUGCAAGGAUUAAAACACUGUAUAUGAGUUCUGUGGGGGAAAAAUAAGAAUGAAGCUUAUUUCAAUUUGCCUAAACUCAAAUGUUGCUAAUUACUUGAGAGAUUUAUUAACAAUAUCAACCUGAGUUGUGGAGUGAUUCCCAUAACUUGUCAUGUGCUUCAUUCUGCAAAGCGACAAAAGUUAAUAGCAUUCUUCAAACUUAACAAAGUUUUGUUGGCAUGUUUUACAUUUUUUAUGAAAUUAAUUUAAAAAAAAAAAAAAAAAACAGAGACCAUGAGGCAGCAAAUAGGGACACAAUUACACUAAGCUUUCAAAUAACUUUUUUUUGAAAUGGGUUCAUGAAAGAAAACAACCACUCAAAGACAAAUGCUCUACUCUUAGAAUUUACAUACCUGUCCAAGAUGGAGGAAGCUGUGACUAUAAAUUUUGUAAGAAACAUUACCAUAGGUUAUCGUACGCGACAACUCAGGAGGCACAGGCUCACUUGACACAAAUGUCACCUAAACCAAUCCACAAACAUGUCAGAUAUAGGUUUAUCUUUAAGUCUGAUAACAAAUUUGACUAAUUAAUAACCUGAGCAGAAGCGCCUCCGAGUGUAACAAUCCCCGUUGUUUGCAAAGGAUCACCUCCAAGCGAACCAAGUGCAUGAUUUGCAACAACCCAAGCAUAUAUACCUUCAUCAGAUCCUGGUAAGAUUUUCAAAUAAUUACCGACUAAUGGAUAUAGGCACAUUUACUAUCAACUCAACUAAGCUAAUAGAAUAUAAAAUGAAACUUCAACAUAUAUAAAUCCAAUAAUACUAACAACAUGUGACACACGAUAUAACACCAAUCAAAAGAGAGAUCCAUAUCUAUUAUAUAUAUAAUCUUUAAUUCUAAGACCAACAAUUACGUUUGGUCAAAUGUAAGAAUUGAUUCCAAAAAAGACUAACCAGAGAUAACCGAUGCCCAUUCGUCUCGAAACCUAAAACCAGAAGAUCUGAGAACUCCUCUGGUAACUUCAAGAAUCUGUUCCUGAACAGUUUCUUGAAGCAAUCUCAUCCCAGCAGUGGCCAUCAACCUAAUGUCACUGUUCUUCAACAUUCUCUUCGGAACCCUCCCUUUGGCGAAUUCCACGAGUUCCUUCAGUGACACGCUAGCUUCUUCCGGAUUAUCAGCAUACGAAGACAAUCCAGGAUUCAGCUUCAAGCUAGCGUAAUUCUCCUUACCGAAAUCGAAAACCGGUUUCCCGGAUUCGAGCCAGUACCGGAACACGUGAGCUCGGGUCCCAGAACUCCCUGCAUCGAUCACGACGCUGUACCGGAACGAGCUUCUCCGAUUGAAUAUAACUGAACGGAAAGCAAAGAAUAUCGCUAACGUGAUAGCUACGGAAACGAAGGUUAGCAGGAUAAUCGAUUUCGUGGGUUUGGGCUUGAACUUGGACUCAGUGAAAGUGUACGUCGGCGAUGAUUGGUGGUGGUCAGGUAGAAUCUGAGCCUUGAGAAGAUCCGUCUCCGAUUUCAUUUUUUCUCAAAACCUGAAAACGAGCAUGAGAUCGUUUAAGUAACCGUUAAAAAAAAAACGAACUAGAAAAUCAAUGAGAUCUUGACGUAGUGUGAAACGCUAGAAAACAAAAAAAAAAACGUAACCCGAUACCAAUUUUUGUUUUAGCUUAGUACUGACAACUGAGUCCGAAGUUUCUUGGUCUUAUGUCUAGAACAUGAUUAUAUAUAAACGGAGACAAGCUCGUCGCUACACUUCAGUCUCCUGUUUUUCCGCUCAGUCUCCGAUGGUUGUUUACUAACUUAAGUACUUUACAAAACACCUACUCUUAUAUAUAUUAGUCAAUGCAUCGUGAUUCAUAUGUUUUGCACAAAAAUAAUAAAAAAUAAAAAUCGUGAUUCAUAUGUUUAUGGCUAAGCGACACAGAUGAGACAGAGACACGUAGGUUCAUUUAAGCGUGGUCGGAGGGAAGAUUCCAAUCUUUCCAAUCAUAAUGAUGGGGUUCUGCUGUGGUAAUAUAAUAUUAGCCUACUAAAUUAGAAAAAAUCUUCAACAGUUUUUCUAAUUCAAUACAUCUACAUUUUUUUUAAUGUAUUAUUAAAGACUAAUUUGAAUAGAAAAAAAUUGAACCGCGCGUUUCUUCAAACCAUAGGCCUUUGAUAGGUGGAACUAGGCCUGAAAUUUUCGGGAACUAGGAUGAGAAUUUACGGAUAAGGGAUGGGAAUAAGAAUUUUGGGAAUCUGAAUAUACUACCCAAAAUAUUCCCACAAAAUAACGGGAGGAAAAUUAACGGGUAUGAGACGGGAAUGAGAAAUUAGGAAAUCAAAACAUAUUACCCAUACAAUCCCAAAAUAAAAUAUAAUCGGGAAAAAAACGAGAAAAGAACGGGAAAGGACGAGAAAAUUUUGGAUAAUUAAACUAAAAUCAAUCUUUUGUUUUUAAAAAAUUAUUAUUUGUUAAUAAAUUGAAAAAACUCAUUAUUUAUUAUAAAAAAAUUUUCAAUUAACCAAAAUUUCUAAAAUUUCACUUUAUAUAAUUACCCAACAAGAAGUUCAGAUAAUCCCAUUCUAGUCCAUACCCUUUCCUUUACCCAUUCAAAUAUUAUUUUUAAACCCGAAUGAGAAAUUCCUUUCUUAAAAUGUUCGGGAAUUUCAGGACAGGUAUGGAACAGGACGGAUUAUCCUUCCCGAAAAAUUCAGGCCUAGGGGGAACCACGUUGUUGGAUAUGGGGCAUUUUGCCCGUAUUAAACCAGCUGAAACGGUAUGAUGGUCACCCAUAUUAAUUGACUUUUACUUCCUUUAUUUUUACUUCUCGUGUGGCCCCCCUGACUAAAGAAGGAUGUUUUAUUUAUUUUUUUCUUUCGUAAGGACAUUUCUUUUUAGCAUAUUAAUGCAUUUUUUACUCAUUAACACUGAUGAAAUUAUAAAAUUCUAAAAAUAUUUAUCAGACUAUUGAUUUAGAAUUAUAGAAUUUUUUUUACUAGUUAAAACGAAUGGAUUUACGUGUUGGUGUCGCGAUAAAUUAAAUUAGUAACUUUGAAACAAUAAAUUUUAUAUAAUAACAUAAUAACUUGGAUGCACCCAAGAAAAAAAAACAUAAUAAUAAAUUGGACAGCAAAGCUAAUUUAUUGUAUUAGAGUGUAGGGUAUGAAACUUUUAUUAUGUAGAUGUUAAUUACAGUACUAUUAUACGUUUGGGAUAACAACUGCAUAUAUAAUAUUUAAUCUAUAAAAUUUUAUCAAAGAUAGAAAAGAUGAACUGCUCUGAAUUACGCUGAAUUACGAUUUGUCACGGACAACUGAAUCUCUAUUUCAGAAGACUCCAAGUUUAGACAAACUUUGAAAUUCUACAGAGUAACAAAAGGUAUAUUUUUGUGAACAUUGAUUACUGGCUUCGAUCGAUCAACAUAUUACCUGUUCGAAUGAACUUUCUUUUCUUGACUUUCAAAAUAAAUUGGCUACGUUACUUUAGCCAAGAAUUUUUCUAGCUUUGCCACUGUAAUCAGAAGUGGCUGUAGAAGUUUUUAGGAUAAAAGCUCCCAGUGCCCAGUCUAGUGAUAUGCCUUUUUCUCCUGCUUUAUUUGCAAACUCGAUUCUGCAGAGAAAACAAACAUAGUUUCUUUUUAUCGAAAACCCCAAAAAAAACGACAUCUAUUGAUAUAAGUGUUCUUGAAUUUGUGGCAGUAACAAUUUACCUUUCAUCAUCAAGAGCAAAACCAAGACUAUCGUGAAGCAUUGAGAUAAUAUAUGCUGAUGAGAAGCAAUAUCCAUGCAAAUACUUUUCUUUUGUUUUUGGGUAUUUCACUUUAAGUUUCGACCAUUCUUCUUUGCAGAAACUAUUGCCGGCUAAAGUCAUUCUAGACAGCCAAUUCUUUUCUUUUAGCCCAAAAAACUGAUCCAGAAAGAAACAUAAGACCAAAUGCUCAGACAAAUUAUCCACAAAUCGUGACAUUGACUAACAUGAAUUCAUGGGAUUAUAUACCUCCGAAGUGUAGUAGAAAUUUUCUGUAGCCAAAAACCUUCCUAACAAUAGCUGCAUCCAUGAGAGAUCCAAGAAUAUUGAAACCGAGAAACGACAUUCGGCUAUGCUAAUAAUGCUUCUUACCCUUUCCUUCUUGCAACAUUGCUAAUGUAGCGGAUCGGCAUUUUGAAUAAUCACCAGCAGCUUGAACCGAGGCUGUAAAUUUGUUUUCCUCAACUACGAAUCCAGAUGAGUCCUUGUGUGAAUUUUUGUCGACAAUGUACCCUUUAGGAGUACAAGGAUCAGUAACUAUUCCUUCCCCUGUAGAGUUUGCAACUGUGUGAGCUUUGACGGAAGAGAAGAUUGUUUCAAUUGCUUAAACUCAAAACUGCAAUUAUAUAACUUUACAAAAUCUUCAAGUUCGGUAGGUUUAAGAUUACCUGAGUUCCGGAGUGAUUCCAAAAACUCUUCUUGUGCUGCAUCCUACAAGGCGACAAAAAGUUAAUAGCUUCUUGAAAAUUAUCAAACGAUAAAUAUCCAUUUUCUUGGUAGCAUUUAUCAGCAAUUUUGAGGAAAUGUAAGAAUCAAUAAACAGCAAAUAGGGACAAGUUACACCAAAGUUUCCAAACAACUUAAAAAAACAAAAGAUGAAUCCAAGAAAACAGGCACUCAAAGACAAGCACUCUGCUCUCAGAAGUUACCUGUCCAUAGUGGAGGAAGCUGUGACUGUAUAGACUGUAUGAAACAUUUCCAUAGGUUAUCGUACGAGAAAACUCACGAGGCACAAGCUCACUUGACACGAAUGUCACCUAAACCAAUGCACAAACAGUCAUCGUCGACCAUUCACUUAGAAAGUCUCAAAAAUACCAAAUUUGACAGGGGAGGAUAUUAAACCUGCACAGAAGCCCCACCGAGUUCAACAAUCCCCGUCGUUUGCAAAGGAUCGCCUCCAAGCGAACCAAGCGCAUGAUUUGCAACAACCCAAGCAUACAUACCUUCAUCAGAUCCUGGAUAAAAUUUCCCAAAGAUAUUUCAAAUAAGUACCGCCUAAUGGAUACAGGCACAUUUACUAUCAACUCAACUAAGCUUUACACACAAAAAGAAGAGAAAUUUAAAACAAAGAUCCAAAGUCCAACAAAACUACACCAAGAGUUACUCCCACAGAGUUGGUCAGUGAUCAAUCGAUCUAGCCCAAAUCGUAAACAAACAAAAAAUCAAUUUUUGGUCAAAUCAAAGAAUUGAUUCCAAAAGACUAACCAGAGAUAACCGAUGCCCAUUCGUCUCGAAACCUAAACCCAGAAGAUCUAAGAACUCCUCUGGUGACUUGAAGAAUCUGUUCCUGAACAUUCACUUGAAGCAAUCUCAUCCCAGCAGUCGCCAUCAACCUAAUGUCACUCUUCUUCAACAUUCCCUCCGGAACUCUCCCCUUUGCGAACUUCACGAGCUCAGCCACUGACGCGCUCGCUCCUUGAGGAUUAUCAGCGUACGAAGACAAACCAGGAUUCAGCUUCAAGCUCGCGUAAUUCUCCUCACCGAAAUCGAAAACCGGUUUCCCGGAUUCGAUCCAGUACCGAAACACGUGAGCUCGAGACCCAGAACUCCCGGCAUCGAUGACGACGCUGUACCGGAACGAGCUUGGGUCUGUUCUCUGAUUCCAUCCGGAGAAUAGAAUUGGAUAGAGAGCAAAUAAUAACCCCAACGUCAUAUCGACCAAUAAUCUACAAUUUUUUUUACCGGAGGGAUAAACUAUUUAAAACAAAAAGUAAUUUUAAUUAAUUUUAAUUUAUAUAUGUUAUUAAAUAUGUACAAAUAUUGUUUACAGAUAUUUUUAAAAACCUUAAGUAGUACCGUACAAAAUUAGUUUUCUUAAUAAGAAAAUUAUAUCUUGUUGACAAACAAACUAUUAUAGAAAAUUUGGAUUUAUGAUAUUUAAAUUAAUUUCUUUGUAGUAUUUACUUGAUUUUUGUUAUACAGUAUAAGGGGAAAACUAUGAUUUCUUUCAUUUCCUUGAUUUGUGGUUUUUAAAAGCAUAUUUUUAAUAUUAUAACUUAUAAGUAUCCACAUUAUAUACUAGGUCUAUAUUUUGUUACAUUAUAAUUUAGAUUAACAAAAAAAUGAACACAAAAUUCUGGCAAUUAGAUCAUGGGAAGGUGGCUUCUAUGCUGGAAAUAAAUGACUUAGUUUAAAAUUACAAUAAUUUGAUUAAAAAUAAAAUAACUUUUUGUUUUUUUUUUUACCAAAUAACUUUUUUGUUAAGAGUGGAAAUUACCAAUACGGAAGUCAAAGUUAGUAGGAGAAUCGAUGAAGCUCGUCGUUACUCUCAGCAGUCUCCUUUGUUUUUUUUUUUGUUUUUUUAUUUAUCAUAUCAAUAAACGAUCCUAACAAGAAGUCGACCGUGGUUUGCAUUCGAGUUAACUGGACCAAAACAUAAAUCAGAAAUAAGAGAAAACAAAAUAAACAGACUCGGUUUUUUAGUAGUGGAGAAGAAGUUGGCCUAAUACAAAAUCCACAAGUCCAUGUCAUCAUGUUUUCUGGCAAAUAUUUCUCAUAUAAAUAAUAUAUCUUACAUCAAGUAACUUGCGGAACCUCCCAUUUCUUCUUUUCAUAUUGAUUCAAAAAUCUAUUAUUGCUUGAUGUUUUUUUUUUGGUGUCAUCUUAUUGCUUGAUGUUCUCAAUAUAGAGUUUCCUUUUCUUAAUUUUGAAAAAAUACAAUAGUUGCAAACACAGUUUAACGUAAAUUACAUCUACAUGACAUAACUUACGUGUUUUAUUGGAAACAUGAUAUAUCAUAGCAAACUAAUAUUUCAGCUAAGCAUUUUUCUAGAUUUGGCAAAGUAAUCACAAGUUGCCGUGGGAGUAUUUAGGAUAAAAGCUCCCAGUGCCCAGUCUAGUGAUAUGCCUUUUUCUCCUGCUUUAUUUGCAAACUUGAUUCUGCAGACAAAACGUACAAACAUAUUGUUUUUGAUACCAACUAAAAAAUCGACAUUAAUAUAUUGAUAUAUGUAAGUGUUAUUGAAUUUUGUGGCAGCUGACAAAUUACCUUUGAUCAUCAAGAGCAAAGCCAAGACUAUCGUGAAGCAUUGAGAUAAUAUAUGCUGAUGAGAAGCAAUAUCCACGCAAAUAUUUUUCUUUUGUUUUUGGGUAUUUCGCUUUCAGUGUCGACCAUUCUUCUCCACAGAAACUCUUGCCGGCUGAAAUCAUUUCAGACAGCCAAUUCUUUUCUUCUAGCCCAAGAAACUGAUCCAGACAGAAACAUAACACCAAAUAUUCUUCAAACAAAUUCACUCUCCACAAAUCUUGACGUCGAUCAAACAUAUGUAUUCAUGGGAUUAUAUACCUUGGAGGUGUAGUAGAAAUUUUCUGUAGCUAAAAACCUUCCUUGAAGAUCAGGUGUGAAUGUUGAUCCAAUAGAACAAUGCUUA